GAUGAAGAAACGUAGCGAAAUGCGAUAAGUAGUGUGAAUUGCAGAAUUCAGUGAAUCAUCGAGUCUUUGAACGCACAUUGCGCCCCCUGGUAUUCCGGGGGGCAUGCCUGUCCGAGCGUCAUUGCUGCCCUCAAGCACGGCUUGUGUGUUGGGCCCCGUCCUCCGAUCCCGGGGGACGGGCCCGAAAGGCAGCGGCGGCACCGCGUCCGGUCCUCGAGCGUAUGGGGCUUUGUCACCCGCUCUGUAGGCCCGGCCGGCGCUUGCCGAUCAACCCAAAUUUUUAUCCAGGUUGACCUCGGAUCAGGUAGGGAUACCCGCUGAACUUAAGCAUAUCAAUAAGCGGAGGA
rnacentral:misc_RNA from 1 species